rnacentral:rRNA from 1 species
ACGAACGCUGGCGGCGCGCCUAAUACAUGCAAGUCGAGCGAGAAGGCGUAGCAAUACGCUUGUAAAGCGGCGAACGGGUGAGGAAUACAUGGGUAACCUACCCUUGAGUGGGGAAUAACCAGCCGAAAGGUUGGCUAAUACCGCAUACGAUUCCCGGACUGCGGUUCGGGAAAGAAAGCGUUACCGUGGGUAGCGCGCUCUUGGAUGGGCUCAUGUCCUAUCAGCUUGUUGGUGAGGUAACGGCUCACCAAGGCUUCGACGGGUAGCUGGUCUGAGAGGACGAUCAGCCACACUGGCACUGCGACACGGGCCAGACUCCUACGGGAGGCAGCAGUAAGGAAUAUUGCGCAAUGGGCGAAAGCCUGACGCAGCGACGCCGCGUGGGGGAUGAAGGUCUUCGGAUUGUAAACCCUUUCGGGAGGGAAGAUGGAACGGGUAACCGUUCGGACGGUACCUCCAGAAGCAGCCACGGCUAACUUCGUGCCAGCAGCCGCGGUAAUACGAAGGUGGCAAGCGUUGUUCGGAUUCACUGGGCGUACAGGGAGCGUAGGCGGUUGGGUAAGCCCUCCGUGAAAUCUCCGGGCCUAACCCGGAAAGUGCAGAGGGGACUGCUCGGCUUGAGGAUGGGAGAGGAGCGCGGAAUUCCCGGUGUAGCGGUGAAAUGCGUAGAGAUCGGGAGGAAGGCCGGUGGCGAAGGCGGCGCUCUGGAACAUUUCUGACGCUGAGGCUCGAAAGCGUGGGGAGCAAACAGGAUUAGAUACCCUGGUAGUCCACGCCUUAAACUAUGGAUACUAAGUGUCGGCGGGUUACCGCCGGUGCCGCAGCUAACGCAGUAAGUAUCCCGCCUGGGAAGUACGGCCGCAAGGUUGAAACUCAAA